rnacentral:lncRNA from 1 species
UCCGAUCCGGAGAUGACAACUAUCAGCAAGAGCAAUUCGAGCGCUUCCAACAGCGAGGCGUCGCUUCCACCAGGUACCCCGAUUUAACUUGUUUACAACAAUUGGGCUUACUCCAAGGUAUCGAGUGGAUGCUCCGUAGAGCCGAUUUAACCUUCCUUUGCACCCAUAACCAACCCACCUAUCCUUCCCUAACCUUAGAAUUCCUAAGUUCUUACGACUACACCAC